GGACAAUUAGCUCAGUUGGUUUAGAGCGCUGCCUUCACACGGCAGAGGUCACAAGUUCAAAUCUUGUAUUGUCCA
rnacentral:tRNA from 2 species